AACGAACGCUGGCGGCAUGCCUAACACAUGCAAGUCGAACGAGAGCUUCGGGUCUAGUGGCGCACGGGUGCGUAACGCGUGGGAACCUGCCCUUAGGAUCGGCAUCACACCCCGAAAGGGGUGCUAAUACCGGAUAAUGUUAUCGCACCAAAGAUUAAUCGCCCUUGGAUGGGCCCGCGUUGGAUUAGCUAGUUGGUAGGGUAAAAGCCUACCAAGGCGACGAUCCAUAGCUGGUCUGAGAGGAUGAUCAGCCACACUGGGACUGAGACACGGCCCAGACUCCUACGGGAGGCAGCAGUGGGGAAUAUUGGACAAUGGGCGAAAGCCUGAUGCAGCAAUGCCGCGUGAGUGAUGAAGGCCUUAGGGUUGUAAAGCUCUUUUACCCGGGAUGAUAAUGACAGUACCGGGAGAGUAAGCUCCGGCUAACUCCGUG
rnacentral:rRNA from 1 species